rnacentral:rRNA from 1 species
UACGUAGGGGCCUAGCGUUGUCCGGAUUUAUUGGGCGUAAAGAGCUCGUAGGCGGUUUGGUGAGUCGGGUGUGAAAUCUCCACGCUCAACGUGGAGGGGCCACCCGAUACUGCCAUGACUAGAGUCCGGUAGGGGAGUGUGGAAUUCCCGGUGUAGCGGUGAAAAUGCGCAGAUAUCGGGAGGAACACCAGUAGGCGAAGGCGACACUCUGGGCCGGUACUGACGCUGAGGAGCGAAAGCAUGGGGAGCGAACAGG